GGGGUUUCAGGAUCAUGGCUGGAGAUGUAGAUUUAAAGAUGUUUUUUACUAAGAUCUUAUCUGUGUUGCUUUGCUAUCCAUACUUAGAAUUACAACAUAUGCAUAGUCUAGGUUGCUCUAAAUUUGUUACCUUUGCUCUAUCUAUUAUCUAUCUGUACAUGCUUAGUAGAUUAGAUCCGAACCUCUCAUAAACACCAAGUUAAUACUAACAAUGCUAGUUGAAAUAGAUCUUGCGCUAUAAGUUUCAUGGAUUGAUAAACCUUAGGGGAAUACUCUAAGAGAAGAGUUACAACUGAUCCAUACGCUUGCGGUUCACAAAUUGGCAUUCUACCAGCCGUCAACAUAAC
rnacentral:lncRNA from 1 species